rnacentral:tRNA from 5 species
GGCUUGGUAGCUCAGUCGGUAGAGCAGAGGACUGAAAAUCCUCGUGUCGGCGGUUCGAUUCCGUCCCAAGCCACCA